rnacentral:rRNA from 1 species
CCCGGUGAUUAUGGCGGGGGUGCCACACCCGUUCCCUUUCCGAACACGGAAGUUAAGCCCUCCCGCGCCGAUGAUACUGCCCCUCCGAGGGGCGGGAAAGUAGGCCGUCGCCGGGC